CGAAGCCACCUGCUGGAUGGGGAGGGCGUGCGCCUCUCUUGUUUGGACUGAAAGGCACGGGAGGUGGGGCGGGGGUCUCGCCUUCCCCUUCCCCUUUUCCCCUUCCCCUUGGGUGAGGAGUGACGUCAGCGGUGACGACAGCGGAGCCCCCUCUGCCCUGCCCUGCCCGCGCGGAGCCAACCCGGGGGCGCUAGGACCGCGGGGCGCCCGCUUUCCUGCCUGCCUCUCUGCCUUCAUCCCUCCUUCGGGCGCCUCCGGAGCAUCCUUCCUCCCUUCCCUUCUUCCCUUCCUUCCUUCCUUUCUUUCGGCCGGACGCCUCCACUUGUGGCCGGAGGAAGAGGAGGAGGGGGUCGCCAUGAGCCGCCGCUUCACGGUCACCGCCGGAGAGGAAAGGGCCGCCGCCCCGGCCCAGGUCCAGGUCCAGGUGCAGCCAGGCAGAGAGCCUUCUCGAUUGUAGCCCCUCAAUUAUGGAAUGUCUUGCCGGUUGAAACUCGAACUAUCCGAGACCUACUUGCCUUCCAGAAAGUCUGCAAAACCUUGCUCUUCUG
rnacentral:lncRNA from 11 species